rnacentral:rRNA from 1 species
UAGUCUCGCACAGAUGCAUAUCAAUAAGCGGAGGAAAAGAAACUAACAAGGAUUCCCCUAGUAACGGCGAGUGAAGCGGGAAGAGCUCAAAUUUGAAAUCUUAAAGGGUUUCCCUUUACGAAUUGUAGUUUAAAGAAGUGUUUUCUGUUGAGGUUUUGGUAAAAGUUCUUUGGAAUAGGACAUCAUAGAGGGUGAGAAUCCCGUAUUUGACCUUUACUUUCAACUUUGUGAUACACUUUCAAAGAGUCGGAUUGUUUGGGAAUGCAGUCCAAAAUGGGUGGUAAAUUUCAUCUAAAGCUAAAUAUUGGCGAGAGACCGAUAGCGAACAAGUACCGUGAGGGAAAGAUGAAAAGAACUUUGAAAAGAGAGUUAAACAGUACGUGAAAUUGUCAAAAGGGAAGCGUUUGACACCAGUGUUGUUUUUCUGAAAAUCAAUUAAAGAACUGUUUAUGCUAAGUUGUUUAGACUUUAUCAGCUAUCUGUUUAGUUUUGAGCUUUUCUUUAAUGCACUUUUCAGUUAACAAGUCAACAUCAAUUUCUUUUGCUGUAAAAAAGCUUGAGGAAGGUGGCUUGAGAUUCGUCUUAAGUGUUUAUAGCCUCUUGCCUAUGCAGUCGGAGAGAUUGAGGUCUGCAGCGUAGAUCCUUCGGGGCUAAAUGCAUUUGUGCUAAGUUAUAGCAUUUUAUAGACAACUUGUUGACUAUGAUUUGUCUUGUAGCUUACUCGCUUAUGUUAUUUUACCUACGCUUAGGAUGUUGACGCAUGAGAUAUACGC